UACGUAGGGUGCGAGCGUUGCCCGGAUUUAUUGGGCGUAAAGGGCGCGUAGGCGGUCACGCACGUCCGUUGUGAAAUCGCUCAGCUCAACUGGGCGGGGUCAGCGGAUACGGCGUGGCUGGAGCAAGCUAGGGGGCAAUGGAAUUCCCGGUGUAGUGGUGGAAUGCGUAGAUAUCGGGAGGAACACCAGUGGCGAAGGCGGUUGCCUGGAGCUUUGCUGACGCUGAUGCGCGAAAGCGUGGGGAGCGAUCCGG
rnacentral:rRNA from 1 species